rnacentral:rRNA from 1 species
GACGAACGCUGGCGGCGUGCCUAACACAUGCAAGUCGAGCGGGGACACAGAGGUAGCAAUACGGAAGUGUUCCAGCGGCGGACGGGUGAGUAACGCGUGAGCAACCCUGUCCCGAACGGGGGGAUAACGAGCCGAAAGGCUCACUAAUACCGCAUAAGACCACGGAGCCGCAUGGCUUUGAGGUCAAAGGAGAAAUCCGGUUCGGGGUGGGCUCGCGUCUGAUUAGCUAGUUGGUGAGGUAACGGCUCACCAAGGCGACGAUCAGUAGCCGACCUGAGAGGGUGAUCGGCCACAUUGGAACUGAGAGACGGUCCAAACUCCUACGGGAGGCAGCAGUGGGGAAUAUUGGGCAAUGGACGAAAGUCUGACCCAGCAAACGCCGCGUGAAGGAAGAAGGUUUUCGGAUCGUAAACUUCUAUCCUUGGUGAAAAUAAUGAUGGUAGCCAAGAAGGAAGCCCCGGUAACUACGUGCCAGCAGCCGCGGUAAGGAGUAGUACA